UACGUAGGUGACCAGCGUUGUCCGGAUUUACUGGGCGUAAAGAGCGCGCAGGCGGUCGUUCAAGUCGAGUGUGAAAGCCCCCGGCUCAACUGGGGAGGGUCACUCGAUACUGAUCGACUUGAAGGCAGGAGAGGGAAGCGGAAUUCCCGGUGUAGUGGUGAAAUGCGUAGAUAUGCGGAGGAACACCGAUGGCGAAGGCAACCCCCUGGACCUGUACUGACGCUCAUGCACGAAAGCGUGGGGAGCAAACAGG
rnacentral:rRNA from 1 species